UCCUACUGCAUUUUAUCUCAUCUAAUUCCCUCUCCCAGUCUCUGUAGUAAUCCAGUUUUAAUGUCCUUUUUUUCUCCACAGCAACUUGCCUGAUCUUGGCAUUAUUUCCAAACAUUUGAAGAUAAAAGAGGAAGUGACUGAGCACAUACUGAAGUUCAUGGUAGCAGGACAAAGAUCCAAGUGGACAAAGCCAUGAGAAAUCUGAUCCGAAUUCUGGGCUGACCCUGCUUUGAGCAAGAGACUGGACUAUAGAGCCAGCCUGAGAGAUCCCACAACUCUCUGAGAGCAUUGCCAGACCUCUGUUCUACAGUUCUAGUGCAUAUGUGAAGAGUGAUAAAGGUGAUCAGGCUCAUGGAGCAGUUUCUGUGUGAUAAAAGAAGUUUGACAAUCUUCAGCCUGGAGUGGAAUCAGCUGACGGAGAAUUUGUUAGAGAUCUACAGGACUGGGAAUGACAUG